rnacentral:lncRNA from 1 species
AUGAUUGCAGUCAUCUAUCCUGUUCUUUUGCAAAUUCACAUAUCAUGCUUGGCUUCUCUUCAUCUAAUCUUUUUUUUCUUACUUUGUUUUUUGUUUUCAACUAUAGCUGCAGCUGAAAAGAAGAAAGAGAAAAGUCCUCAUGAGGAGGAAGGAUCGGGAUCAGGAUCAGGAUCAGAGGGAGAAGGAUCAGGAGGAGAAGGAAAAGGAAAGGGGAAAGGGAAAAAGCAUGGAAAAGGAAAAGGUCAUGGACAUGGGCAGGGAAAAGGAGGCGGACAUGGACAUGGGCAGGGAAAAGGAGGCGGACAUGGGCAUGGUCCUAAAUAA